AGCGACGCCGCGUGAGGGAUGACGGCCUUCGGGUUGUAAACCUCUUUCAGUAGGGAAGAAGCCUUCGGGUGACGGUACCUACAGAAGAAGCGCCGGCUAACUACGUGCCAGCAGCCGCGGUAAUACGUAGGGCGCGAGCGUUAUCCGGAAUUAUUGGGCGUAAAGAGCUCGUAGGCGGUUUGUCGCGUCUGCCGUGAAAGUCCGGGGCUUAACCCCGGAUCUGCGGUGGGUACGGGCAGACUAGAGUGCAGUAGGGGAGACCGGAAUUCCUGGUGUAGCGGUGAAAUGCGCAGAUAUCAGGAGGAACACCGAUGGCGAAGGCAGGUCUCUGGGCUGUUACUGACGCUGAGGAGCGAAAGCAUGGGGAGCGAACAGGAUUAGAUACCCUGGUAGUCCAUGCCGUAAACGUUGGGCACUAGGUGUGGGGGACAUUCCACGUUUUCCGCGCCGCAGCUAACGCAUUAAGUGCCCCGCCUGGGGAGUACGGCCGCAAGGCUAAAACUCAAAGGAAUUGACGGGGGCCCGCACAAGCGGCGGAGCAUGCGGAUUAAUUCGAUGCAACGCGAAGAACCUUACCAAGGCUUGACAUGUUCUCGAUCGCCACAGAGAUGUGGUUUCCCCUUUGGGGCGGGUUCACAGGUGGUGCAUGGUUGUCGUCAGCUCGUGUCGUGAGAUGUUGGGUUAAGUCCCGCAACGAGCGCAACCCUCGUUCCAUGUUGCCAGCGGGUUAUGCCGGGGACUCAUGGGAGACUGCCGGGGUCAACUCGG
rnacentral:rRNA from 2 species